rnacentral:rRNA from 1 species
GGCCCGCACAAGCAGCGGAGCGUGUGGUUUAAUUCGAUGUUACACGAAGAACCUUACCAGGGUUUGACAUGCAAGUGGUAGGAAGCCGAAAGGUGACCGACCCUUCGGGGAGCUUGCACAGGUGCUGCAUGGCUGUCGUCAGCUCGUGUCGUGAGAUGUUCGGUUAAGUCCGCUAACGAGCGCAACCCUCGCUGUGUGUUAUAUGUGUCACACGGGACUGCCGGUCUUAAGCCGGAGGAAGGUGGGGAUGAUGUCAAGUCAGCAUGGCCUUUAUAUCCUGGGCUACACACACGCUACAAUGGCCAACACAAUAGGUUGCUAAGCCGCGAGGUGGCGCCAAUCCAUAAAGUUGGUCUCAGUUCAGAUUGUAGGCUGCAACCCGCCUGCAUGAAGAUGGAGUUGCUAGUAACCGCAGGUCAGCUAUACUGCGGUGAAUACGUUCCCGGGCCUU